rnacentral:lncRNA from 1 species
GCAAGCCCUGUUGCUCUUCAGGUUGUGGGUCUUCCUGUUGCCAAUCCAGCUGUUGCAAGCCCUGCUGCUGUCAGUCCAGCUGCUGUAAGCCCUGCUGCUGUCAGUCCAGCUGCUGUAAGCCCUGCUGCUGUCAGUCCAGCUGCUGUAAGCCCUGCUGCUGUCAGUCCAGCUGCUGCAAGCCCUGCUGCUGUCAGUCCAGCUGCUGCAAGCCCUGCUGCUGUCAGUCCAGCUGCUGCAAGCCCUGCUGCUGUCAGUCCAGCUGCUGCAAGCCCUGCUGCUGUCAGUCCAGCUGCUGUGCCCCUGUGUGCUGCCAGUGCAAGAUCUAAGGUUUACUAAUCCCACAGACCAGCUCUCUCCAGACAGAAACAGGAGCAGCAGCCCUGAACUCUGAGGUUCACCCACCCCUGGGUCUUCAGUCUUUGGUCUUGAAGCUGCAUCUCCAGACUGAGGGAUGUGCCCUGGGGUGAAAAACUCUGGCUGGAAGCUCACUAUUCAUUCUACACUCAGUGGAUCAGACCUUCAUCCACUUCCUUCGCUCCAGUCUCCAAGACUCUGACUUCCUUGGCCCCUGGCCUCACCUGGAGGCUACAUCAAGUCUACAGGUAGGUGGCAGACUGUGGAGGUCACCACUACCUGGGGUCCCAGGGAGCUGUGAAUUCCUUUCCACCCAGCAUUGUCCUGG